AGCUGGGUCCUGUAGCGGUUAUCAGGUUGUAUUCAGAGUGCAAUGACUUCGGUCUCGCGGGUUCGAAUCCCGUCUCAGCUG
rnacentral:tRNA from 2 species